GUGCGCGCGACUGGCGAUAGGCCGAAAUGGCUGACGUGGUGCACCACUGGGAAGCGCGCCGCAUGAUCCUGAGAGGUGAUUGCGUUCCGCCGUUCGCCUGGGCAGUCCU
rnacentral:ncRNA from 1 species